GACUAGCUAAAGUGAAUCGUGUGCUGACUAGUGAUAGAGGCUACAACAGAACUUCCUCACUGACUAGCUAAAGUUUAUAGUGUGCUGACUAGUGAUAGAGGCUUCAACAGAACUUCCUCACUGACUAGCUAAAGUUUAUAGUGUGCUGACUAGUGAUAGAGGCUACAACAGAACUUCAUCACUGACUAGCUAAAGUUUAUAGUGUGCUGACUAGUGAUAGAGGCUACAACAGGACUUCCUCACUGACUAGCUAAAGUUUAUAGUGUGUUGACUAUUGAUAGAGGCUACAACAGAACUUCCUCGCUGACUAGCUAAAGUUAAUAGUGUGACUUUUGAAGGUUGUUUUGACUGAUGAAUUACAUGUUGACUGUGUAAGGAGUUGCCAACUUAAUUUCAUGAGUGAUUGACCAAACUUUACCAGCUGUUGAUUUUUGAUGAAUGCUUCAAAGUCACAUCAUCAGUGACAAACCAUUGUUUACCAGCUGUUUACUUUUGAUGGACGCUUCAACGUCACAUCAUCAGUGACAAACCAUUGUUUACAAGCUGUUCACUUUUGAUGGAUGCUUCAACGUCACAUCAUCAGUGACAAACCAUUGUUUACCAGCUGUUUACUUUUGAUGGACGCUUCAACGUCACAUCAUCAGUGACAAACCAUUGUUUACAAGCUGUUUACUUUUGAUGGAUGCUUCAAUGUCACAUCAUCAGUGACAAACCUUGCCCAAUGUUCAGCAGCUACUGACUAUUGAUGGUAGCUCCAAUCAAUUUCAUCAGUUUAAAGUUAACCACAUGCUGACUGUUGAAGGAGGACCAACUUCAUAACCAAAGUUUACAAGCUGUAGACAGCAUUGUUACACACAAUAGUAGACCUGUUGCCUGAAAUUAUGAUGUAAGGUUUGCAGGUCAAUAUUUCACAUUUUCUUAUUCCGAAGUGGUUUCCUUGCUUUCUGUUACAGAUCAGAUACAUAUUUACCCAUAUAUGAGUUUGUCCCACCCAAUUCUACUCUUGUAGUAUGUCUGCACUUGUUCACUUUGACCAAGAACGUCAGUUAGCAACAAAACAGGAUCAGUUUUGGGUUUUAUAGUUAAAUAUUGACAUUGACAUUUUGUUUAUUUUCCAGUGGCUUUCUCAUACAAGAUAUGUAUAAUUGAUAAUAAUUACACAUAUAAGUACUUUCUAACUUUCCUAAUAUACUCUCAUAUGUUGUAUAGCACGAUAUUUCUUAGGGGAUGAUAUUUUCGCAGUUUCACGGGUCAAUUACGUGAUUGCAAAAAUAUGAUCCGCAGACACUUUAUAUGCCGAGUGUCCCAUCUCUAUCGCAAACUUUAAUCUGUAAAUUGAAUUUUCAAAUUCUAGUUAAAUUUAAGCCAGCAUAAAUAACCUGUUCUACAGUACGAUAUUGUGAAGAAUUGCCAUGUCCAUAUCUAUGUAACUAAAAGUGCUACACGUAUAAUAAUUGCAUCAACGAUGCAGCUAUGUUCGUUCUACUUAAGGCAUGCUGCAGAUGCUGAAUUUACAUCAGGAAGAAACAAAAUAUUUAUCAUAUCUUGGUAGCUAUAUAAAUGCUGCAUGGAUAGCACUUGAAGUUAGAAAUCCACCAUUAUUCAACUGUAACUGAUGGAGUUAUGGCCCUUAAAAAAAUGCAUCUGAAGGAUUUUAAGCAUGAUUUGCUGCCGUUUGUUACUCUUGUUUUAAAUUAAUGUAGUGAACUAAAUAUGUGCGUAAUCCUUUAGUGGCAUUAUAAUACUAUUCAUGUUUGUAAAAUUAAUAUUUACAUUUACUUUGAAUGAUUCCUGAAGUAAUACAGCAAUAUUAAUUGUAGCACUACAUACAGGCACACUUGUAUAGUGUGCUACAUCAUUACCCCGCCAUCUUAUCCAGACUAGUCUAUAGAGUUUGAUGGCAGCACCUUCCUGUUAUAUUUGCUGCUAAAAAUCUUGUGUAUACAUUUAUUUUGUUAAUUAUACACAAGUCUAUGUAAUGUUGAUACAGUUAUUGAUAUGACUCACUGCCUAUCUUACAUUGUCCUUGUUAUAACAGGUGCAGUGUGCAUCAUCGUUUACUACUGUUGAAUUUGCAAUAAACAAAAAAACUGUCUUUAACUUGUCCGCAUCUUUUCUCCCAACAAAAAAUGUAAUAAUACAACGAGAAGAAAAUAGCUUUAAACUUGGAGCAAGCAUUUAAAGCAAAUUCUGUACUGAAAACGUUACCUUCUGAGAGGUUUAUUUUGAAUCAUGACUAGAUUAUGUGUCAAGUACUUCUUCCAGUCUUACCAAAGAUUUUCUAAACACUAACUUCUUAACUACCUGUUAUAUGAAAUUUUAAUACCUUGAAUGUAGCUCUGCCUCAAAAUACAAAUUUUAAUUUA